ACCCACCUUGCCCGUGACAUCGUAGCUCGGACUGCAAGGCGGGGAGUGCUCGGGGGCCUCUCCAUCCCGGGCGGCAGCGGCGCCAGACAUGCCCGUCAUGUCCCCUGGACCAGAGGUUAGGGCUGGAACGGAGGCCCUGCGCCAUGCACGGACACUGCACCAUACCCCCUGGUUCCCCAACACCCUGCCUCCACCUUGGGAGACAGCAGAAGCUGACUGUGGCUACCUUUAAGGUUCUGGGAAUGAAGAGAAGACUUUCACUUGUUGCUUUAUCUCUUUCUAUUCCUCCCUCUUUCCCGUCUGUCUGUCUUUCUUUCUUUCUUUCUUUCUUUCUUUCUUUCUUUCUUUCUUUCUUUCUUUCCUUCCUUCCUUCCUUCCUUCCUUCCUUCCUUCCUUCCUUCCUUUUCUUCCUCCUCCUCCCAUUCUUCUUCUUCUUCAAAACAUUGCUUGCAUUACAUUUUUACAAAAGUGUUAAUUGGAAAUACUUGAGAGUGGGCAUCAUGGACCAUGUUUUCUUUUUGUACUUUUCUCUAUUAAA